rnacentral:rRNA from 1 species
CUACCCGCUGAACUUAAGCAUAUCAAUAAGCGGAGGAAAAG